AAAAAAAAGGAAGAUGAAGACUGCAAGACAUCUUCCAUGGUUGAUCUGCUCCGAUCUGGGGGUAAAAGCCAGCUUCCCGGCCCACCUACCAAACCUAAACCAUCCUGACCAAGAGGAGAACUGUUCCACAUUUGCCAUGUUCCCUUUUCAUUAACAUGCACAUCAUCCACGGGCAGGGUGUGCAAAUCUUGAGCCUUAGGACUAGUAGGGAACCAAUUAGAUCCAUUAUGCUUCUCAUCAGCAACUCGGAGUCGAGACAACGGAGACUCAAUUGGAGAUGGCUUGUUAGCUUCAGAAGAUGCAGAUAAAUUCUUCAAAGCAUGAGGCCUUUCCAAUCCCAUGUCUGAUGCAAAACCAGUCCCCAGGUCCAACUGGAAAUUAUCAAGUGACUCUGAUACAGGCCCAAGCAAUGAUAUUGGAUCAGGAACAUAACAUGGAUCUUCAAAAAGCUCAG
rnacentral:misc_RNA from 1 species